AUAUUUAAUAGAACUUCAAAAUAACCUCGAUUCAAAGAUCAAUAAUAAAAUUUCAAGAUAACUUCGAUCCAAAGAUCAAUAAUAGAAUUCCAAGAUAAUUUUGAUCUGGAGAUCAAUAAUGGAAUUUCAAGAUAACUUUGAUUCGAAGAUCUGUAUUUGAUAGAAUAUCAAAAUAACUUCGAUCCUGAGGUCGGUAUCUAU
rnacentral:lncRNA from 1 species